UACAGAGGGUGCAAGCGUUGUUCGGAAUUAUUUGGGCGUAAAGCGCGUGUAGGCGGCUCGAUAAGUCUGCUGUGAAAGUCCAGGGCUCAACCCUGGGAUGCCGGUGGAUACUGUCGGGCUCGAGUCCGGAAGAGGCGAGUGGAAUUCCUGGUGUAGCGGUGAAAUGCGUAGAUAUCUGGAGGAAUACCGGUGGCGAAGGCGGCAUCCUGGACCGGCAUUGACGCUGAGGAGCGAAAGCUAGGGGAGCAAACGGG
rnacentral:rRNA from 1 species